AUGGCGAGCGAGCUGUUGCCGGCGGUGCUGUUGAUCUCCGUGGCGUCAUUGGCCGGACUGGCCGCCGGAGCGCGCGCAAGCGGCGUCGCGAUCUACUGGGGCCAGAACGGCAACGAAGGCACGCUGGCGCAGACGUGCGCGAGCGGCAACUACAAGUUCGUCAACGUGGCCUUCCUGUACACCUUCGGCAAGGGACAGACGCCGCUGCUGAACCUGGCGGGCCACUGCGACCCGGCGUCCGACGGCUGUACGGGCGUGGGCGCCGACGUCAGGUCCUGCCAGCGCCUCGGCAUCAAGGUCAUGCUCUCCAUCGGCGGCGGCGGCGGCAGCUACGGCCUCUCGUCCCGCGCGGACGCCAGGCUUGUCGCGAGGUACCUCUGGGAGAACUACCUCGGCGGCACGUCGGCGUCGAGGCCCCUCGGCGACGCGGUGCUCGACGGCGUCGACUUCGACAUCGAGAGCGGCGGGAGCGCGCACUGGGACGAGCUGCUGAAGAAGUACUCGGGGAAGGGACGCGAGCGCAAGAGGGUGUACCUGGCGGCGGCCCCGCAGUGCCCGUUCCCGGACGCGUCGCUCGGCGGGCUCGGCGGCGCGCUCGGCACGGGCCUGUUAGACUACGUGUGGGUGCAGUUCUAUAACAACCCGCCGUGCCAGUACACCACGGACGGUGGGGUGCGCAACCUGGCGCGCACGUGGGAGCAGUGGACGGCCAUACCGGCGAGGCAGGUGUUCCUCGGGCUCCCGGCGGCGCCCGAGGCCGCCGGCAGCGGGUUCGUGGAGGCGACAGACCUGGUGUCCAAGGUACUGCCGGUGGUGAAGAAGUCGAAGAAGUUCGGUGGGAUCAUGUUGUGGUCGAGGUUCUACGAUGGGAAGACCGGGUACAGCGACAAGGUCAAGACCAGCCUGUGA
rnacentral:rRNA from 1 species